rnacentral:lncRNA from 10 species
GAAAAAAUACCUGCUGGGAAUUUCUGAGCAAGUGGGAACAGGGAGGUGGUGGCGGGAGCUGCCUUUGCCUUAAAAGGUGUGACGGAGCCAGGGACUUCGCUCAGCUCACCUGGGGAUGGCCACGGGGUGUAGAGGGGUGAGUGGCUGGCCGCCACCUUGUGGGCUCACCCCAAAUUGCUCUCUGCCUAGAUCUUCGUUGACAGCCUUGCUGGCAGGGGCUGUGCUGCUCUGUCUCUGUCCCCCCACCCAGAUGUAGCCCCAUGCAGCUGGCAGCUCACCUUCCUCCCCUUGGUUCUCAACCUCGUAGCUGAUAAUGCAGCUACUUGCUGCAACUUCUGGGGGUCCCUCUGCCCUGCCUCCUGGGCAGUUCCCAGGAGCCCAAAGUCCCUUUCCCUUUCAGGAGCAGUCUCAGGAGCCCGGGCCAGGCCACCGACAGGAGACUGCCUGAUGCAAACCUCACGGGAGGCAGGAAAUUACAGUAGCCCCUACCCUCCGACACCCCCCGUGGAUUCCUGAAACCGCGGAUAGUACGGAACCCUCUGUGGAUUAGGCUUUUUCUCUCUGAUCACCAAGAGGGCUACAAAGUGACUCACGGGCGGGAACGCCUGCAGCGCGGAGACGCUGGACAGAGGAAUGAGUCACGAUCAUCGCUGCAUGAUUUCAUCACCCUGCUCAGAAUGGCAUGCAAUGUCAAAUUAUGAAUUAUUUCUGAAAUUUUCUCUUUAAUAUUUUCAGGCUGUGGCUGACUGCUGGAAACUGCAACUAAGGAAAGUGAAACCACAGAUAAUGGGGGCGCUGCGGUAACUCCACGGGCCUGAGAGUGAGGGAGGAAGGGAGCAUCCAGGAACCAUCCAGAGCCCAACCUCACCAGCCGCUCACCCACAAUCAGCAGCACUCACAGGUCAAGGCAGUGCGCGGGACAGCAGGCGGCAAUCAUUGUGAGCAUCUUGCUCUGUAUUAGGCACUGAGCAUUUCACACAGAGAAAAAGUCAUCAGGCUCACUCCUUGAGGGAGGAAAUUGAGGCUCAGCAAGGUUAAGUCACAGUCUCCGAGGUCAGACUCUUGGAGUGGCGAGGCGGGGAUAUAAAAUCCAGGCUCCAGACACGAGCGCACAACCAUCACACCACGCUGUCCUGGUGCAGGAGGGCUGCGAAAGCUCUGGGUGAGGACUGGAGGGACACUGUUUCCCAGCAGCCACUGCGACCCCCAAUGCUCCUUGGCCCCCUACCCUCUCCCAGGCUCCUACAGUGGGCCCCUGCUUCUUUACGGAUGAGGUCUCCUGGAGCCCGGUACCACAGCCAGCCCCACCCUUGCUGGGCCCUGAGCCUGCACAGCUGGUCUUCAGGUCACUGGGCUUCAUGUGACUAUGGAGAAGUGACCCCUCCCCACCCGGUCCCCACCAGAGUCCUGCUUAGCCCGGCAGAGGAAAACGGCUGUGAGGGAAGGCACUAAAGAUAGCUGCCUCGCCAACUUCCCCAUCCUACUGGCCGCUGUCUCCUCCCCAGUGGGCUUCUCCAGCAGACCUCCACCCCAGGCCAUCCUUGAGCCUGGUCAGCCAGCCCGGGGCAUAAGCAGGGACCCAGGCGAUGGUCACCACCAUGGCCGCUGUUACUGAAGACUCACGGGCCCCAGGCACUGGGCCAGGCAGGACUGUGUGCCUUACUGCACAGAAACCCCUCAACAGGGGGCAGCAAGGAGCUGCCUGUCACCCCCACUUGAUAGAUGGGGAUCCAAGCACAGAGGAGGACCAGCUGGUGUGAAAGCCCCAGCUCAUCCUCAUGCCAGCAGCUGGGAACACACCUGGACAUUGACACGCCACGCCAUCUUCCCCCAUGGCCCAGGGCCUAUGGACACACUGGCUUGGCAACACCAGAGCCUAUGAUGAAGACACCAUGUCAUCCCCCAUCCAUCUGUGACACCAUCUCCACCCGCAGCAGGAAUAUUUACAUCAGGGAAACAGGCAGACACUAGAGAUCAGGGCCAUUCCUCCAGGGAGCUGCUUGUUAGACAUUUACCAGCACAGCACUGACCCCAACCUUCUGUUCUGCUGGUGACACCAAUGGCUGAACCCAGCUGGAAGUG